GCGCCCGUAGCUCAGGGGAAUAGAGCGGCUGCCUUCUAAGCAGCGGGUCGCGGGUUCGAAUCCUGCCGGGCGCGCCA
rnacentral:tRNA from 1 species